AGCAAAGUAGCAUCCCUUUCGUUUCUGAUCAUUGAAAAUACUUUCAGGUCAUCGGCAUAUAGCAAAAAAUUUGCGAAUGAAAAACAUGAGCUAAUGUCAUUUAUGAAUAAUAUAAAAAGUAAAGGACCUAAAAUACUUCCCUGGGGUACCCCAGAGGAGGCAAGGAAUGCAUCUGACGAAAUGUCAUCUAUCGAGACAACACAGCGCCUGUUGAUCAAGUAGGAUUUAAUCCACUUCAAAAAAA